UACGUAGGUGGCAAGCGUUGUCCGGAGUUAUUGGGCGUAAAGCGCGCGCAGGCGGUGCGGUAAGUCUCUGGUGAAAGCGCUCGGCUUAACUGGGCGAGGGCCGGGGAGACUGCCACGCUGGAGGGGAGCAGAGGCGAGUGGAAUUCCGGGUGUAGUGGUGAAAUGCGUAGAGAUCCGGAGGAACACCCGUGGCUAAGGCGGCUCUCUAGUACGGUACUGACGCUGAGACGCGAAAGCGUGGGGAGCGAACAGG
rnacentral:rRNA from 1 species